GCACAGUAAAGACAAAGAUUUUCACUUCGUCGGCGAGUCUUUCCUGCUGGGUCAAGCGAGACUGUUCCACCUGCAUAGCCUCCACUGCGAGAGAUGGUUGGUGGAAGACUUUGUGCCAGACAAGGAAAGCGCCGAGGUCGUGCAGAAUCCCUUUCUUGGCGUAGUUCCUCAGGUCGCUCGGAGAAACGGAUAUCUAUCCGGGAUGCCAAUUGUAUCAGUUCAUUCAAGGUAGACAGCAAUUCCCGGGCCGCGAGGACAUCCUUAAUUUGGCUAGAUAAUCCUCUCUUGAAGGUAGCACAGAGAGCUUCAUUAUUCCAGGACAACUCCAACGCCAGGGUUCGGAACCGGAUGGCAUACUCGCCAACAGUGGAGUUGCCCUGAGAAAGAUUCAGCAGGGCCGUCUCUGCAGAGGAGGCUCGAGCAGGUUCCUCAAAGACAGUGAGGAAUUCGGUCAGGAAUGCCUGGAGAUUAGUAGUGACGACAUCACUGCGAUCCCACAGCGGGGUUGCCCAGGCCAAAGCCCUUCCAGACAGGAGACUAAUGACGAAAGCCACCUUUGCACGUUCCGUGGAGAACUGGUCCGCCAUGAGUUCUAUGUGCAUGGAGCACUGUAUCACAAAACUAGAACAGAACUUGGGAUCCCCCUCAUAUUUCUCUGGAAGCGACAAACGGAGUUUAGUUCCGGAGGAGACUAAAGCAGCGGGAGGUUGUACUGGAGCAGGAGACGGAGGCUGUGGCAGUUGCUGCUGAGCAGAAAGCAACUGCUGCAUAAUGGCGGUUAGCUGGUUGAGCUGCUGUGCCUGCUGGGCCAACUGCUGGGACUGAAGCGCCACGAUAGGUGCAAGAUCCAAGUUGUCAGGCAGAGGAACCCCAGUUGGAUCCAUGGCCGGAUCUUGCUGUCACGUACCUGGAUGUGGAUGUCCCGGAGCAGGGUAAAUAGGAUGCACCCUUAGUUCCCAAUGUACCACAGAUUCUGAAUAAGAAAGAAGAUGAUCUGGAAGUAUAAAAGCAAAGGAACAAACGGAGGAGCAUUAUGUGUCAUAAAAUUACUUUAACUUAAGAGAAUAAUUAAAGGAACAAACAAAGGCCGGCGUGCAUUAAACAAUAUAAAAUGGGAUAAACAGAACACCAUAUACUGCUGCCCUGGAGCGUAUAUAGUAUAUGCAUAUAUCUUGUAAUCAAUGGUACAAAGAUGAAAUCCACUAUGCUGUUGUCGUAGGAUAGCGAUGAUCGUUGGGCC